rnacentral:siRNA from 1 species
GUGUAUGUAGUUAAGGUUUUGGU